GGCUAAGUAACUAUAAUUGAUACUAAAAACUAUCUUGUUUGCGAGUCCAAAUCCUUGAAUUUAAUUUUUCUGAAUAAUGUAGAAAUCGGUUGAUCAAAAAAAAAAAGAAGGAAUAAUGUAGAAAUCUAAUUUUAAUAAUAUAGCUGUAUGAUGAAAAUACAGUUUUAACUAUUAACUAAAACAAAAGGUUUUCUUUGGUCGUUACGAAAUUACAAGAGUUAUACUUAUCAAGUCUAUAAAGAAAAGAAAAAAAUAAAUAUAUAUGUAUUUUACAAGCAAAUAUUAUGAAAACCAUUAAAUCCUUUUUGAUGAAUUUGUAAUAAAGAAUUAAUUUCAACGAAAUUUUCGAGAAAAAAAAUUUAUCUUAUAUAUUAAAACAGAAGUC
rnacentral:lncRNA from 1 species